rnacentral:rRNA from 1 species
GACGGGACCCCGCACAAGCGGUGGAUCAUGUUGUUUAAUUCGAUGAUACGCGAAGAACCUUACCAGGUCUUGACAUCCCCCGCGAUGCUUUAGAGAUAAAGCGGAGGUAUUCGGGGAGACAGGUGGUGCAUGGUUGUCGUCAGCUCGUGUCGUGAGAUGUUGGGUUAAGUCCCGCAACGAGCGCAACCCCUAUUGCUAGUUACCAUCAUUAAGUUGGGGACUCUAGCGAGACUGCCAGUGAUAAACUGGAGGAAGGUGGGGAUGACGUCAAAUCAUCAUGCCCCUUAUGACCUGGGCUACAAACGUGAUACAAUGGCUGGAACAAAGGGAUGCGAAGCAGUGAUGUGGAGCGAAACCCAUAAAAACAGUCUCAGUUCGGAUUGAAGUCUGCAACUCGACUUCAUGAAGUCGGAAUCGCUAGUAAUCGCGCAUCAGCCAUGGCGCGGUGAAUACGUUCCCGGGCCUU